rnacentral:rRNA from 1 species
UACGGGGGGAGCAAGCGUUGUUCGGAUUUACUGGGCGUAAAGGGCGCGUAGGCGGUCGUGACAAGUCACUUGUGAAAUCUCCGGGCUUAACUCGGAACGGUCAAGUGAUACUGUCGGACUAGAGUACAGAAGGGGCAACUGGAAUUCUCGGUGUAGCGGUGAAAUGCGUAGAUAUCGAGAGGAACACCUGCGGCGAAGGCGGCCAUCUGGACGGUAACUGACGCUGAGACGCGAAAGCGUGGGUAGCAAACAGG